rnacentral:rRNA from 1 species
UACGUAGGGUGCAAGCGUUGUCCGGAUUUAUUGGGCGUAAAGAGCUCGUAGGCGGUUCGUCACGUCGGCUGUGAAAUCCCGAGGCUCAACCUCGGGUCUGCAGUCGAUACGGGCGGACUGGAGUACUGCAGGGGAGACUGGAAUUCCUGGUGUAGCGGUGAAAUGCGCAGAUAUCAGGAGGAACACCGGUGGCGAAGGCGGGUCUCUGGGCCGUAACUGACGCUGAGACACGAAAGCGUGGGUAGCAAACAGG